rnacentral:rRNA from 1 species
GAUGAACGCUGGCGGCGUGCCUAAUACAUGCAAGUCGAGCGAACAGAUAAGGAGCUUGCUCCUUUGACGUUAGCGGCGGACGGGUGAGUAACACGUGGGUAACCUACCUAUAAGACUGGGAUAACUUCGGGAACCCGGAGCUAAUACCGGAUAAUAUUUCGAACCGCAUGGUUCGAUAGUGAAAGAUGGUUUUGCUAUCACUUAUAGAUGGACCCGGGCCGUAUUAGCUAGUUGGUAAGGUAACGGCUUACCAAGGCGACGAUACGUAGCCGACCUGAGAGGGUGAUCGGCCACACUGGAACUGAGACACGGUCCAGACUCCUACGGGAGGCAGCAGUAGGGAAUCUUCGACAAUGGGCGAAAGCCUGACGGAGCAACGCCGCGUGAGUGAUGAAGGUCUUCGGAUCGUAAAACUCUGUUAUUAGGGAAGAACAUAAGUGUAAGUAACUGUGCAUGUCUUGACGGUACCUAAUCAGAAAGCCACGGCUAACUACGUG